rnacentral:rRNA from 1 species
AAUAGAUACCCUGGUAGUCCAUGCCGUAAACGUUGGGCGCUAGGUGUGGGACUCAUUCCACGAGUUCCGUGCCGCAGCUAACGCAUUAAGCGCCCCGCCUGGGGAGUACGGCCGCAAGGCUAAAACUCAAAGGAAUUGACGGGGGCCCGCACAAGCGGCGGAGCAUGCGGAUUAAUUCGAUGCAACGCGAAGAACCUUACCAAGGCUUGACAUAUACCGGAAACACCCAGAGAUGGGUGCCCCGCAAGGUCGGUAUACAGGUGGUGCAUGGUUGUCGUCAGCUCGUGUCGUGAGAUGUUGGGUUAAGUCCCGCAACGAGCGCAACCCUCGUUCUAUGUUGCCAGCGCGUUAUGCCGGGGACUCGUAGGAGACUGCCGGGGUCAACUCGGAGGAAGGUGGGGACGACGUCAAGUCAUCAUGCCCCUUAUAUCUAGGGCUGCAAACACGCUACAAUGGCCGAUACAAAGGGCUGCUAUACCGCGAGGUGGAGCGAAUCCCAUAAAGUCGGUCUCAGUUCGGAUUGGAGU